AUUGAACGCUGGCGGCAGGCCUAACACAUGCAAGUCGAGCGGAUGAAGGGAGCUUGCUCCUGGAUUCAGCGGCGGACGGGUGAGUAAUGCCUAGGAAUCUGCCUGGUCGUGGGGGAUAACGUCCGGAAACGGGCGCUAAUACCGCAUACGUCCUGAGGGAGAAAGUGGGGGAUCUUCGGACCUCACGCUAUCAGAUGAGCCUAGGUCGGAUCAGCUAGUUGGUGGGGUAAAGGCCUACCAAGGCGACGAUCCGUAACUGGUCUGAGAGGAUGAUCAGACACACUGGAACUGAGACACGGUCCAGACUCCUACGGGAGGCAGCAGUGGGGAAUAUUGGACAAUGGGCGAAAGCCUGAUCCAGCCAUGCCGCGUGUGUGAAGAAGGUCUUCGGAUUGUAAAGCACUUUAAGUUGGGAGGAAGGGCAGUAAGUUAAUACCUUGCUGUUUUGACGUUACCAACAGAAUAAGCACCGGCUAACUUCGUG
rnacentral:rRNA from 1 species